GACGAACGCUGGCGGCGUGCUUAACACAUGCAAGUCGAACGGAAAGGCCCUGCUUUUGUGGGGUGCUCGAGUGGCGAACGGGUGAGUAACACGUGAGUAACCUGCCCUUGACUUUGGGAUAACUUCAGGAAACUGGGGCUAAUACCGGAUAGGAGCUCCUGCUGCAUGGUGGGGGUUGGAAAGUUUCGGCGGUUGGGGAUGGACUCGCGGCUUAUCAGCUUGUUGGUGGGGUAGUGGCUUACCAAGGCUUUGACGGGUAGCCGGCCUGAGAGGGUGACCGGCCACAUUGGGACUGAGAUACGGCCCAGACUCCUACGGGAGGCAGCAGUGGGGAAUAUAGCACAAUGGGCGGAAGCCUGAUGCGGCAACGCCGCGUGCGGGAUGACGGCCUUCGGGUUGUAAACCGCUUUCGCCUGUGACGAAGCGUGAGUGACGGUAAUGGGUAAAGAAGCACCGGCUAACUACGUG
rnacentral:rRNA from 1 species